rnacentral:rRNA from 1 species
CUUGAACGCUGGCGGCAGGCCUAACACAUGCAAGUCGAACGCGUGGCGGACGGGUGAGUAAUGUCUGGGACACUGCCUGAUGGAGGGGGAUAACUACUGAAAACGGUAGCUAAUACCGCAUACCAUCAGAUGUGCCCCGAUGUGAUUAGCUUGUUGGUUGGGUAACUGCUCACCAAGGCGACGAUCCCUCGCUGGUCUGAGAGGAUGACAAGCAACACUGGAACUGAGACACGGUCCAGACUCCUACGUGAUGCAGCAGUGGGGAAUAUUGCACAAUGGUCGCAAGCCUGAUGCAGCCAUGCCGCGUGUAUUAAGAAGGCCUUCGGGUUGUAAAGUACUUUCAGCGGUGAGGCGUUACCCGCAGAAGAAGCACCGGCUAACUCCGUGCCAGCAGCCGCGGUAAUAC